rnacentral:rRNA from 1 species
UACGUAGGGUGCAAGCGUUAAUCGGAAUUACUGGGCGUAAAGCGAGCGCAGGCGGUUAUGUAAGACAGAGGUGAAAUCCCCGGGCUCAACCUGGGAACUGCCUUUGUGACUGCAUAGCUAGAGCACGGUAGAGGGGGAUGGAAUUCCGCGUGUAGCAGUGAAAUGCGUAGAUAUGCGGAGGAACACCGAUGGCGAAGGCAAUCCCCUGAACCUGUACUGACGCUCAUGCACGAAAGCGUGGGGAGCAAACAGU